GACGAGCGCUGGCGGCGUGCUUAACACAUGCAAGUCGAACGGAAAGGCCCUGCUUGCAGGGUGCUCGAGUGGCGAACGGGUGAGUAACACGUGGGUGAUCUGCCCCUUACUUUGGGAUAAGCCUGGGAAACUGGGUCUAAUACUGGAUAGGACCAUGCUGUAGGUGGUGUGGUGGAAAGAUUAGUUGCGGUAAGGGAUGAGCUCGCGGCCUAUCAGCUUGUUGGUGGGGUAAUGGCCUGCCAAGGCGUCGACGGGUAGCCGGCCUGAGAGGGUGGACGGCCACAUUGGAACUGAGAAACGGAGCAGACAGCUGCGGAUGGCAGAAGAGGGGAAUAUUGCACAAUGAGCGAAAGCCUGAUGCAGCAGCGCCGCGUGGGGGAUGACGGCCUUCGGAUUGUAGACUCAUUUCAGCCAUGACGAAGCCCUUGUGGUGGCGGUAGUGGAAGAAGAAGCACCGGCUAACUACGUGC
rnacentral:rRNA from 1 species